rnacentral:rRNA from 1 species
UACGUAGGGUGCGAGCGUUAAUCGGAAUUACUGGGCGUAAAGCGUGCGCAGGCGGUCUGUUAAGACCGAUGUGAAAUCCCCGGGCUCAACCUGGGAACUGCAUUUGUGACUGGCCAGCUAGAGUAUGGCAGAGGGGGGGUGGAAUUCCACGUGUAGCAGGUGAAAUGCGUAGAGAUCGGGAGGAACACCAGUGGCGAAGGCGGCUACCUGGACCAGCACUGACACUGAGGCACGAAAGCGUGGGGAGCAA